GACGAACCGUGCGAACGUUGUUCGGAAUCACUGGGCGUAAAGCGUGCGUAGGCUGUUCUGCAAGUCAGGAGUGAAAGCCCAAGGCUCAACCUUGGAAGCGCUUUUGAAACUGCAGGACUAGAAUUUGGGAGAGGAUAGCGGAAUUGUCAGUGUAGCAGUGAAAUGCGUAGAUAUUGACAGGAACACCCGUGGCGAAGGCGGCUCUCUGGAACGCAACUGACGCUGAGACGCGAAAGCGUGGGGAGCAAACAGG
rnacentral:rRNA from 1 species